rnacentral:lncRNA from 1 species
GGAAGGAGGCGUGCCCUCGAGGGCGGGGCGCUCCCGGGGACCUGGGGCUGCUGCUCCCCGAGCCGUGAGUCUCACUCUGUCACCCAGGCUGCAGUGUAGUGGUACCAUCUAGGCUCACUGCAGCCUCCACCUCCUGGGUUCAAGUGAUCCUCCUGCCUCAGCCUCCCGAGUGCUGGAAUUACAGCUUUGCAGAGGCAAGCGUCUAUGAUUUAAAUGCUAGCUUUGCCGCUUACUGGCUGAAAGACUUUAAAUGACAAUAACAAAAAAUGAAGAGGAUGAUGAUGAUGAUACAAGAUACCAUUGCCCGUGUGUACCAGACAUCAUGCUAAGUGAGUGCUACCCACAUCAUUUUUCUUUCUUUUCUUUUCUUUUCUUUUUUCUUUUUUUUUUUUUUUUGAUACAGAGUCUCGCUCUGUCACCCAGGCUGAAGUGCAGUGGCGCAAUCUUGCCUCACUGCAACCUCCACCUCUUGGGUUCAAGGGAUCCUCCCACCUGAGCCUCCUGAGUAACUGCGAUUACAGGCAUGUGCCACCAUGCCCCGCUAAUUGUUUUGUGUUUUUAAUGGAGAUGGGGUCUUACCAUGUUGGCCAGGCUGGUCUCAAACUCCUGACCUCAAGUGAUCCUCCCACCUUGGUCUCCCAAAGUGCUGGGAUUACAGGUGUAAGCCACCACGCCCAGCCUUUACCCACAUUAUUUCUUUUUUCUUUUUAGGAACAGGGUCUUGCUCUGUGGCACAGGCUAGAGGGCAGUGGCAAAUCAUAGCUAACUGUAGCUUUGAACACCUGGGCUCAAGCAAUGCUGCCACCUCAGCCUCCCGAGUAGCUAGGAUUAUAGGCGAGUGCCACCACACCUGGCUAACUUUUAAACAUUUUUUUUGUAGAGACGAGGGUCUCACUAUAUUGCCCAGACUCCUGAACUCAAGGGAUCCUCCUGCCUCAGCCUCCCAAAGCGCUGAGAUUACAGGAGUGAGCUUCCGCGCCCGGCCCCACAUCAUUUCUUUCACACAAACUCAAAUCUUUCUUGACCUCAAAGGGUUGUCCUGCAAAUCAAAAUCAAAUGAUGUCUCCAGGAGAAAGAGCUUAAUUCCCACCACCCUGAGAGUGGGCUGGAUGUCACGACUCGUGGGCGGAUCGCUUGAGGCCAGGAGUUCGAGACCAGCCUGGCCAACACGGCGAAACCCUGUCUCUACUAAAAAUACAAAAAAUUAGCCAGGCAUGGUGGCAUACGCCUGUAAUCCCAGCUACUCGGGAGGCUGAGACAGGAGAGUAGCUUGAACCCAGGAGGUGGAGGUUGCAGUGAGCCAAGAUUGUGCCACUGCACUCCAGCCUGGGUGACACAGCAAGACUCCAUCUCAAAAAAAAAAAAAUAAGUAAAUAAGAAAGAAAGAAAGGAAGGAAGGAAGGAAGGGAGGAAGGAAGAAGGAAGGAAGGAAGGAAGAAAAUGUAGGGUGGAUGCAGUGGCUCACACCUGUAAUCCCAGCACUUUGGGAGGCUGAGGUGGGUGGAUCGCUUGAGCCCAGGAGUUCAAGACCAACUUGGGCAAUGUGACAAAACCCUGUUUCUACAAAAAAAAAAAAAAAAAAAAAAAUUAUCCUGGUAUGAUGGCAUGCACUUCUAGUCCCAGCUACUUGGGAGGCUAGGGUGGGAGGAUUGCUUGAGCCCAGGAGGCAGAGGUUGUAGUGAACCAAGAUCACGCCACUGCACCCCAGCCUGGGCAACAGAGCGAGACUCUGUCUCAAAAAAAAAAAAAAAAUUAGCCUGGUGUGGUGCUACGAGACUGUAGUCCCUGCUACUCGGGAGGCUGAAGUGGGAGGAUCUCUUGAGCCCAAGAAGUCGAGGCUGCAGUAAGCUGUGAUCGUGCCACCGCACUCCAGCCUGGGCAACAGAGUGAGACUCUGUCUCAAAAAAAUUAAAAAUAACAUGAGGAGAAGCUGGGAAGGAGGGCUUAAAGGGACUCUCUCUGCUUUCUUUGUACUUUCCUGUAAAUAUAAAAUUAAAAGUAUAUUUUUUAAAAAUCAAAGGGCAGGCCAGGCGCGGUGGCUCAUGCCUGUAAUCCUAGCAUUUUGGAAGGCUGAGGGGGGUGGAUCACCUGAGGUCAGGAGUUUGAGACCAGCCUGGCCAACAUGGUGAAACCCCAUCUCUACUAAAAAUACAAAAAUUAGCCAGGCGUGGUGGCGCAUGCCUGCAAUCCCAGCUACUCAGGAGGCUGAGGCAGGAGAAUGGCUUGAACCUGGGAGGCGGAGGUUGCAGUGAGCUGGGAUGGUGCCAACUGCUCUCCAGCCUGGGUGACAGAGCAAAACUCCAUCUGAAAAUAAAUAAAUAAAAAUAAAAAUAAAAGGGCAUCAUAUGCCAAUGGAUUGGUGAUCGGGGGCUCAGGCUGUGAGUUCAAACCCUGACUUGAGCAAAAACUUAACUUCUCUGGGCCUCAGUUUCCUCAUCUGUGAAAGAGAGAAAGUGCUAGUGUCUACAGAGUUACAAAGCUGAAUGAGGAAAUCGGUUUAGAGCACUUACAGACCGGGCUCAGUAGUUCAUACCAGUAAUCCCAGCACUUUGGGAGGCAUAGGUGGGAGGAUCACCUGAGGCCAGGAGUUCGAGACCAGCCUGGACAACAUAGCAAGACCUUGUCUCUAUUUUUAAAAAAUCUAAAUAAAAACAAAAUAAAGCACUUACAGUGCUUGGGAUAGUGUAAGUGCUCCAUACGGUAAUGCUAACCAUUGUUAUUAUUUGUGCAAAGUUUUCUGUGAUUAUAAAGUGACAUUCAGGAAA